ensembl:lncRNA
AUUUUUGCUGGAGAUUCCUGCAUGCCUGAAGUCUCUAAUGAUUCUUUAACAAUGUAAAGGAGGUAUCUUUCAUCUGAUUCCUAAGUGAAUAAGAAACUUGAAGGAAACAGGAGGGUAGCAACAAGGCAUCUUCUUGAAUCUCUCAUUUUCCUGAACAAGUGCAAUGAUGAGAGAUCUUGUUGGACACAGAAGAGAAGAGAGACAAUAUUUGUCUGGAAACAGAAUCAUCAGAGCAUUUAUCCCCAAGGGAAGAGAUGAAUAAAAAAAACUGCAGUUGUCUCUGCUUCCUAUUGAAUUUUGUUUCUGAUUCUUUGCUGCCACCACCACCAAGAUGGUGGCCACCAGUAUGGUCUUUGCUCUAUAGCAUUAGAGUUGAGAAUGAGAGUUUUAGAGCAGAAAAGGGGGGGGGGGGGAACCACCAGCUGAUCUUUAUUUUGAAUGUGGUUUUGCCACACCUCUACUUGGAGUAAGUAACCCAGAGUUACAGUCUUCCUAUGUUUUCAGUGAUGUGUUGACCUGAAAAUGUUUAUUAAAUCUAUCCCUCUGGAGACAUUUUAAUGAUGGAAUCAUGUGACAAAAUCUGUUUUUCUUUGUUCUCAUGGAUAUGUUUGCUGCUUGUAAUAAUCAUAGUUUAAUUUUUAAGAAUGUUUUUUUUGCAAACCAGGCUUUCAAAUAGAACUUGUCAGAUCUCCAUAUUUGGAAUUGGAAGUUCACUGGGGUAUAUUCCUAGAUUUCUGGAUAAGAAAUAUAAAAUGAAAUAUUGAUUACUUUGAAAAAGUGAAAAUGAAAUCUGUUACUGAUCUCCUCUCUCUUCU